rnacentral:rRNA from 1 species
UACGUAGGUGGCAAGCGUUGUCCGGAAUUAUUGGGCGUAAAGCGCGCGCAGGUGGUUUCUUAAGUCUGAUGUGAAAGCCCACGGCUCAACCGUGGAGGGUCAUUGGAAACUGGGGAACUUGAGUGCAGGAGAGAAGAGUGGAAUUCCACGUGUAGCGGUGAAAUGCGUAGAGAUGUGGAGGAACACCAGUGGCGAAGGCGACUCCCUGGCCCGGUACUGACGCUGAGGCGCGAAAGCUAGGGGAGCAAACGGG